UAUAGAUAUUGUUAUAGGAUAUCUCAUGGGUACAGGGCUGCUGCAUUCUAUUUUCUUUUUUUUUUUUAGAGAAGCACAUUGAAGCAUUUGUUUUGAAAAACAAACUUGGAUUUUAAAAUGACAACAUGGACUUCCCAAACGUAUAAGAAAAAAAAAGGCCUUGAGGAAGAUACGUUAUCUGACAGAAAGGCUCACGGCCUCAGAGACAGACUGAAGACGCUAAACAUGAGAAUACUAGGAAAGAAGUUGGCCUGUUCUAUAGAAUCCCUAGCCGGGAAUUAAAGGUUCUGCCUAAGGUGGAAGAAUGAACCCAUGGAGAAGGUGGCAGAUAGCCAUGGGGAGUGUGGUAUACCCCAUCCCUGACUGGACUGGACCAGAAGUCUCUACUAGCUCUCCUCAGGGCGUCAAGUGAGGUAAAGUUCAGCCAUCAGAGAAGAGAAGCCGUUCACCUGAUUGUUAUAAAAUUCACUUUUGUGCUUUUUAUAACAUUGUAGCUCUAAAGGAGUACAUACUCUUUGGACUAUACCUCUUGGAAGACAGGAGUUCUGUUAUUGGACCAUAAAAUUAAAAAAAGGCCAUUGUUUGUAUCAGAAUGAUUUAAGGGUGGGGACAACUUGUGUGAACACCACUGAAUAGAAUGUGGUUUUGAAGUGAUGCAAUAUGGGCAGGGAACAAGUUGACUAACUCCUGUAUUGUAUUCGCCAAAGUGCUUAGAACAGUGCUCUGCACACAGUAAAUACUCAGUAAAUACCAUUGAUUGAUGGAUUGAUUUUCAGGAGUCAUGGAUUGCUUUAGUUGAAAUGGAUGUCUUAUUCACAAAUCCAGGUGCUUAUAACAAGGCCACAUACAAGGCAGUAACUUCUGAGUCUGUUACACAUGAUGGGAUGAAGAAGAAAAAUAGCUAUUAGAAAGAUUUAAUGGAGAGUUGUCCAGCCUCAAGCAAAGGAGAGGUUUGCACUCUGUGACUGGAGUGUAUUUUGAAACAAUCUCUCGCAGCUCAGAGCAUUAGUUCAAAUGUAACUAUGAUGCUUGUUUCAUAAAAUGAAAUUGAAGAUUGCUUAGGGU
rnacentral:lncRNA from 1 species